UGCGUAGGUGGUUAAGUAAGUUAUCUGUGAAAUCCCUGGGCUCAACCUGGGCAGGUCAGAUAAAACUGCAUAACUCGAGUAUGGGAGAGGGUAGUGGAAUUUCCGGUGUAGCGGUGAAAUGCGUAGAGAUCGGAAGGAACACCAGUGGCGAAGGCGGCUACCUGGCCCAAUACUGACACUGAGGCACGAAAGCGUGGGGAGCAAACA
rnacentral:rRNA from 1 species